rnacentral:tmRNA from 1 species
GGGGACGCGUGGUUUCGACAGGGGGAGUAGGCUACAGGAUUGCAGGCUGAGGUGCCACUAUCUCAUAAAACAGGUGGCAAAACGUAACUGACGAAUCAGUUUUACUUGCAGCCUAAUUAGUUAGGCUGCCAUCCAACCCGACCUCCCCUUAACGGGUUGGGAUUGGGUGCCGAAAAGUUGAGGUGCCACCGCCUAGACGUCGAUAAGGGUGGUGAAAGAGUCAUCGACUGGCCUGGCUAAACUCGGUCAGCAGAGGUUAGUCAGGUAAGAUAAAAGAGCUGACUAAGCUUGUAGCAUAUUCUGGGUCGCUUCUUCUGGACGGGGAGUUCGACUCUCCCCCGUCUCCACCA